rnacentral:rRNA from 2 species
CAGUCGACGAACUCUGGUAUUGAUUGGUGCUUGCAUCAUGAUUUACAUUUGAGUGAGUGGCGAACUGGUGAGUAACACGUGGGAAACCUGCCCAGAAGCGGGGGAUAACACCUGGAAACAGAUGCUAAUACCGCAUAACAACUUGGACCGCAUGGUCCGAGCUUGAAAGAUGGCUUCGGCUAUCACUUUUGGAUGGUCCCGCGGCGUAUUAGCUAGAUGGUGAGGUAACGGCUCACCAUGGCAAUGAUACGUAGCCGACCUGAGAGGGUAAUCGGCCACAUUGGGACUGAGACACGGCCCAAACUCCUACGGGAGGCAGCAGUAGGGAAUCUUCCACAAUGGACGAAAGUCUGAUGGAGCAACGCCGCGUGAGUGAAGAAGGGUUUCGGCUCGUAAAACUCUGUUGUUAAAGAAGAACAUAUCUGAGAGUAACUGUUCAGGUAUUGACGGUAUUUAACCAGAAAGCCACGGCUAACUACGUGCCAGCAGCCGCGGUAAUACGUAGGUGGCAAGCGUUGUCCGGAUUUAUUGGGCGUAAAGCGAGCGCAGGCGGUUUUUUAAGUCUGAUGUGAAAGCCUUCGGCUCAACCGAAGAAGUGCAUCGGAAACUGGGAAACUUGAGUGCAGAAGAGGACAGUGGAACUCCAUGUGUAGCGGUGAAAUGCGUAGAUAUAUGGAAGAACACCAGUGGCGAAGGCGGCUGUCUGGUCUGUAACUGACGCUGAGGCUCGAAAGUAUGGGUAGCAAACAGGAUUAGAUACCCUGGUAGUCCAUACCGUAAACGAUGAAUGCUAAGUGUUGGAGGGUUUCCGCCCUUCAGUGCUGCAGCUAACGCAUUAAGCAUUCCGCCUGGGGAGUACGGCCGCAAGGCUGAAACUCAAAGGAAUUGACGGGGGCCCGCACAAGCGGUGGAGCAUGUGGUUUAAUUCGAAGCUACGCGAAGAACCUUACCAGGUCUUGACAUACUAUGCAAAUCUAAGAGAUUAGACGUUCCCUUCGGGGACAUGGAUACAGGUGGUGCAUGGUUGUCGUCAGCUCGUGUCGUGAGAUGUUGGGUUAAGUCCCGCAACGAGCGCAACCCUUAUUAUCAGUUGCCAGCAUUAAGUUGGGCACUCUGGUGAGACUGCCGGUGACAAACCGGAGGAAGGUGGGGAUGACGUCAAAUCAUCAUGCCCCUUAUGACCUGGGCUACACACGUGCUACAAUGGAUGGUACAACGAGUUGCGAACUCGCGAGAGUAAGCUAAUCUCUUAAAGCCAUUCUCAGUUCGGAUUGUAGGCUGCAACUCGCCUACAUGAAGUCGGAAUCGCUAGUAAUCGCGGAUCAGCAUGCCGCGGUGAAUACGUUCCCGGGCCUUGUACACACCGCCCGUCACACCAUGAGAGUUUGUAACACCCAAAGUCGGUGGG